rnacentral:rRNA from 1 species
AUACGUAGGUGGCGAGCGUUGUCCGGAAUUAUUGGGCGUAAAGAGCAUGUAGGCGGUUUUUUAAGUCCGGAGUGAAAAUGCGGGGCUCAACCCCGUAUGGCUCUGGAUACUGGAAGACUUGAGUGCAGGAGAGGAAAGGGGAAUUCCCAGUGUAGCGGUGAAAUGCGUAGAUAUUGGGAGGAACACCAGUGGCGAAGGCGCCUUUCUGGACUGUGUCUGACGCUGAGAUGCGAAAGCCAGGGUAGCGAACGGGAUUAGAUACCCCGGUAGUCCUGGCCGUAAACGAUGGGUACUAGGUGUAGGAGGUAUCGACCCCUUCUGUGCCGGAGUUAACGCAAUAAGUACCCCGCCUGGGGAGUACGUCCGCAAGGAUGAAACUCAAAGGAAUUGACGGGG